rnacentral:lncRNA from 1 species
UCUUGGUGCCCACUUUGAGGCCUAAUUUAGCAGGUGGACACUCUACAAAAAUUCUUCAAUAGCCUCUUGCCAAGUGGCCUUCAGUUUAAGAUUCAUAAGUCAACGUUUGACCGAUGUCCUAAAACAGAAAUGACAGGUGACAGGAAUUAGUAGGUGGUCUUAAAUUCAUCUCAUGAAUUAAGAUAAGAUUUUUUUGAACUGGACUAGCUCCAAUCAGAUUGAGAAAAAUCUCCUCAAGGUUCUCUGGGUGAGUCAAAUCACAUUUGGCUCAG